rnacentral:rRNA from 1 species
GGCCAGCAGCCGCGGUAAUACGUAGGGUGCGAGCGUUAAUCGGAAUUACUGGGCGUAAAGCGUGCGCAGGCGGUUUUGUAAGUCAGAUGUGAAAUCCCCGAGCUCAACUUGGGAACUGCGUUUGAAACUACAAGACUAGAAUAUGUCAGAGGGGGGUAGAAUUCCACGUGUAGCAGUGAAAUGCGUAGAGAUGUGGAGGAAUACCAAUGGCGAAGGCAGCCCCCUGGGAUAAUAUUGACGCUCAUGCACGAAAGCGUGGGGAGCAAACAGGAUUAGAUACCCUGGUAGUCCACGCCCUAAACGAUGUCUACUAGUUGUUGGUGGAGUAAAAUCCAUGAGUAACGCAGCUAACGCGUGAAGUAGACCGCCUGGGGAGUACGAUCGCAAGAUUAAAACUCAAAUGAAUUGACGGGGGCCCGCACA